rnacentral:rRNA from 1 species
UACGUAGGUGACAAGCGUUGUCCGGAAUCACUGGGCGUAAAGGGCGCGUAGGCGGCCUGAUAAGUAGGGGGUGAAAUCCUGCGGCUUAACCGCAGGGCUGCCUUCUAAACUGUCGGGCUCGAGCACAGUAGAGGCAGGUGGAAUUCCCGGUGUAGCGGUGGAAUGCGUAGAGAUCGGGAAGAACAUCAGUGGCGAAGGCGGCCUGCUGGGCUGUUGCUGACGCUGAGGCGCGACAGCGUGGGGAGCAAACAGG